AAAUGAAUUGACGGGGGCCCGCACAAGCGGAGGAACAUGUGGUUUAAUUCGAUGAUACGCGAGGAACCUUACCCGGGCUCGAACGGCAUUUGAAUAUAAUGGAAACAUUAUAGUUAGCAAUAACAGGUGUCGAGGUGCUGCAUGGUUGUCGUCAGCUCGUGCCGUGAGGUGUCGGCUUAAGUGCCAUAACGAGCGCAACCCUUACCGUUAGUUACCAGCAAGUAGAGUUGGGGACUCUGACGGGACUGCCACCGUAAGGUGUGAGGAAGGUGGGGAUGACGUCAAAUCAGCACGGCCCUUAUGUCCGGGGCUACACACGUGUUACAAUGGGGGGUACAAAGGGAUGCUACCCGGCAACGGGAUGCCAAUCUCGAAAACCUCUCCCAGUUCGGAUCGGAGUCUGCAACCCGACUCCGUGAAGCUGGAUUCGCUAGUAAUCGCGCAUCAGCCAUGGCGCGGUGAAUACGUUCCCGGGCCUUGUACACACCGCCCGU
rnacentral:rRNA from 1 species